ensembl:snRNA U2 U2 spliceosomal RNA
AUUGCUUCUCGGCCUUUUGGCUAAGAUCAAGUGUAGUAUCUAUUCUUAUCAAUUUAAUAACUGAUACAUUCUCUAUAUGAGGAGAACUUAUGAAGCGUAUUUUUUGGAUUAGAAAAUAGAAUAGGAGUUUUCUCCAUCCAUUUCACACAUCAAUCUGAAAUUGCAGUACCUCCAUGAAUGGUGCACCAAGA